GUUUUCCUGACACUGUAUGUGUUCAUUUGGGAUUAGCAUCAUAUGGUGCUUCAAUAUUAAGGCGACGUGAGUGCAACAGUAAAAAGUGUAUUUCGGAAGUUCCAUCUCAUUAAGACAGGAAUGGAAAUGAUGUGUUUAAGUGGAAUGUCCUAUGAAGCGCCUCCCAACUCUGCUCUACAUCCUACAAACCGGUCCCCUGCAGAGCUCUCAUUAAACACAGUCCUGGCCCACAGCUCAAUUACAGAUAACUUGAGGUCAACAUGUAAUAACCCAGACCAGGUGCUGAUCAUCUGUCUGUACACCUGGCGUUCCAGAUGGGGAACAAUGGAGAGACGUUUUUCCUUUUACUACCUUCACUUCCUGUGGAAUAAACAGACGAGUGCCAGAAGAUAUCAGCUUUAACUGUAUGCAAAAGUUUAUUGAAUGACAACAGUAAUUCAUUUCACACUCAAUCACACACGCACGCACGCACACACAAAUAAAAUAGAUUCAAUUUACAAAUAUAUAAUUGCAUAAAACGUUAUCCUAUUACAACAGCUUGAGACAUCCUUGACAUAAAUGAAUAAUAUAUAUAAUAACGCUACCUUCAAUGCCCUUAUUUUUUCCCCCGUACAAAAAUAGCUCUAUCUCUGUAAGUAGUAUAAAGUAAUAUAAAACUAUUAAAUAGUGAUAUCUUUGACCAUUUUUGUUUUCAAAUAUACAUAUACUUGCGAUAAAAAAAA